CGGACGGGUGAGUAACGCGUGAGGAUCUGCCGACAGGACGGGGACAACAGUUGGAAACGACUGCUAACACCCGAUGUGCCGAGAGGUGAAAUAUUUAUAGCCUGUCGAUGAGCUCGCGUCUGAUUAGCUAGUUGGUUAGGUAAUGGCUGACCAAGGCGACGAUCAGUAACUGGUCUGAGAGGAUGACCAGUCACACUGGGACUGAGACACGGCCCAGACUCCUACGGGAGGCAGCAGUGGGGAAUUUUCCGCAAUGGGCGCAAGCCUGACGGAGCAAUACCGCGUGAGGGAGGACGGCUCUUGGGUUGUAAACCUCUUUUCUCUGGGAAGAACACAAUGACGGUACCAGGGGAAUCAGCAUCGGCUAACUCCGUGCCAGCAGCCGCGGUAAUACGGAGGAUGCAAGCGUUAUCCGGAAUGAUUGGGCGUAAAGCGUCCGCAGGUGGCUAUGUAAGUCUGCUGUUAAAUAGUCUAGCUCAACUAGAUAAAGGCAGUGGAAACUACAUGGCUAGAGUGCGUUCGGGGCAGAGGGAAUUCCUGGUGUAGCGGUGAAAUGCGUAGAGAUCAGGAAGAACACCGGUGGCGAAAGCGCUCUGCUAGGCCGCAACUGACACUGAGGGACGAAAGCUAGGGGAGCGAAUGGGAUUAGAUACCCCAGUAGUC
rnacentral:rRNA from 1 species